UACGUAGGGGGCGAGCGUUGUCCGGAGUUACUGGGCGUAAAGCGCACGCAGGCGGUCUGUUAAGUUUGGAGUGACAGUUGGUGGCUUAACUGCCAAAGUGCUUCGAAAACUGACAGACUUGAGGGCUUCAGAAGGGACACGGAAUUCCGGGUGGAGUGGUGAAAUGCGUAGAGAUCCGGAGGAACACCAAAGGCGAAGGCAGUGUCCUGGGGAGUACCUGACG
rnacentral:rRNA from 1 species